GUCCUCUUAUUCUGGAUCUGGACUGCUGCUGUAGCUCCUUGGAUUGUACUAGUAUCAAUCGUGUACUGCAGUUAAUUCUUAGAUGGAUCCAAGUUACCUUCCCAAAGAUGUGUACGUGAUGUCCAAAAGUAUUCCUGCCUGUGAUGAUUCAUCAGAAUUAUAAGCUGCUGUUCAUUAAUGUGCACAAUACACUUGCAGAUUGGUCACAUUGGUUGUAUUCCUGCAUGUUCAUCUGAAUUAUAAAGUAGCUGUUCAUUUAUUUGAACUCUAAUAAUGUGAUGUCCGUUCACGGAAAUAAGAUUUCGUAAUCACAAACACAUGAUUGAUUUACUCAUGGCUAUAUGAUAUUAACUUUGCACUUCAUCCGGAAACUGGCAGACAACAAUUCAUCUGACCUUUGAUUAAGUGCUUGCCUAUAAUUAAAUAACAAGGCUGCGUCUAGAAACCAUCGUUUUCGUUUUCGGUGUAGUUGGAUGCAUAUUAUUCUGAAUAAAAUUGCCAUAAUCCCUAUUGUAUUUUUUAUUAAACCGAAAUAAUACACUACAUGGAAUGUCAGUCACUUGUCUGCUUAUGCCUUAUUAAUAUCUACAUUCUGAUCCGAUUACGCAGGCCCUGGAGUUGGAAAAGUAGGUAACACUUUUGCUGAAGAGCAUUACAUAGAACAGAUUCAGCAGCUGUCUGAAAAGGUGUGGAUUAUUUACUUUAGGAUUCAAUUGAUGUACAUUAUAUUUAGAGCCAGAGUCUUUUCCUUUGCAGAAAAGUUGUUAGCAUUUCUAGUAACCGGCAUGACAGUCCACUCUGACUUCAAAUAUUACAUUAUCCGGUAGCUGUUUACGCUGAUAGAUGUUGCCUUUAAUUGAGUCAUCCCAUGAGGUUGUACUUCACAACUACAGCAGCGAUGUUGAAUUAACUUUAGCUGCUGAUAUCUCUACUUCCUUUGUUGAAUGCCAGAUCGCAGACCUGAAAGUUUCUGUGGACAGCAUGGAGAAAGAAAGAGAUUUCUACUUCUCGAAGCUUCGUGAUAUUGAGAUACUGUGUCAACGACCUGAGUUGGAGCAUCUACCAGUGAGAAAAAAAAAAAUUAAGCUUGAUAUUCAUGUGUUUGCUGCGUAUUCGAGAAAAAUAUUCAUGUGUUUUCACAGGGUUACUGGUUUAUGCCCUUUCUAGAAUGUUUCUCCCAGGUUAAGGGAAUUAAAUGCAAGGUUCCAAGUACGUUAGGAACUUGCUUGCAGUUAUCCAUAUGUAAUAUGCUAUUCUGCUGUUAUCCAAAUGUAGUUUGCUAGUCUGUUAUCCAUACGAGUGAGUUGAAUGCCAUCUGAACUCUCAUAUGAUUCAGGAACUGAAUAAUCUGGGGUGGCCAACCUUUUUUUUUUUUCCCCUUUUGAACUGCAAAAUGAUUUCGAGUUAUACUCCUUGUUUUUGUUUCUAUAGGUGAUUCACUACUGACCUGAACUUUCUUUUGACAGAUGACUAAAGCUGUUCGGAAGAUACUUUAUGCGGCUGAUGCAAAGGAUUCACCACUACCUGAUGCGAAUGAUAUAAUCAGCAAGUCACCGGGCUUGUUCUCAGAUGAAGCUGAGUGAGAUGUGCACGCUGCAUGAGCUAAUUUGCUGCAAUCAUCGUAGUUCUGAAUCUGUAAAUGAGUAAAUAACAUUUGACAUGAGCCGUCGUUGCAUGUCAAAGACAGUUUUCCUGUAAGAACUUGCUACUUGCGAGUAGUUAACUAGUUAUGGUGCAUUCAUGCUCAACAUGCCAGUUCCUUUAUAUCUUCCCGGGAUAGAUUUUGUUCUGUGAUCUUUGGUUACCAGUAGCUUAUUUAUCUAAUGUUCAGCCUGCACGAAAUUCUUCAAGAUUGGGGUUGAGAAAUGUUUAGCAUGAUUGAACACGCAACCCUUCUGCACAGGAAAACUUCCAAGUUCUGUAUUUGUGUGAUUCACCACUACCUGAGGCGAAUGAUAUAUAAUCAGAGUCUUUAGGCUUGUUCUCUGGUGAAACCGAGUGAGAUGUGAUGCUACAUGGGUUUUGUGGUCAUCAUCUAUGUCGCCCAGCGUAGUUCUGAAUAUGUAAAUGGGUAACAUUGAUGUGGUGCCAUCAGAACUCCAGCCUUCUAGCUACGCUUUACAGCAGGCAAUUGUCAUCUAUUAACUAUAAAAAUGGGUGGAACCACUCCUGGUGAAAUCUUAGCCAACUCAUAGCGCACUCGUCCAACAAACGGCACACAAAUCAGAGUCUGGAAUCGAGCAAUGGCACAUCGUUGCAAAUACUAUUUAAAAUUUAAGAGGCGUCCAUCUUAGAACCUAACAUGUAUUUUUCAAUUCCCACUCACACUGAGCCGGACCUUCCCAAAGCGCCGGGUUCCCCGUCAUCUGAAGCCCUACGCCUCACCUCGGUACCUGCAGAAACUCAGGGGAAGGCAAAAUUACCAUCCAACGCUAUGGGUGGACCAACUACUGGCGAAAGCAAAUCUCCAAGCAUAUUGCCCGGCAACGCUUAAUGGCAGGGGAAGACUACGUACCUGGGACAUAACCUAGUACCAUUUCGUGUCUACCAACCACCGUCGAAAUGUAUAACAUUGUAUGUAUCCAUGCGGCGGCCAUUGUAGGCCUCAGAAUCUGCAAGUAUCCCAACAUUAGAAUUACAACAUGGCACAAAAGAGGAAGGAGACCAUUCAUAUGACAAAAUAUAAUAUAAUGAGUACCAACCUCAUAUGCCUUGGUACUCUUUGAAACCGCCCUGAAUUUCUCUUCCAAAUUGUUCAUUUUUUGCUCAAACUCGCGCCAAGAAGUGUUGUCUUCGUCCAACACUAGACUGUAGUUUGGCAAGCUAUAUCCAACGUAGUUUAUAUUUGCCACGGUGUCCUGAAGCAAGAUGCGGCCUACUGCGGCCACGCCUCUAAAAGCACCAAUAAGUGAAAAAAUGGACUCAUCGUUGAACUUCUUAUCAUACGCGUCCUUUACUAGCUUAACAAAGCUGGAUACAUACAUUGCGAGGGUCUGUAUUUGAAGGGAAAAAAUUAAUACACAAUACCAAUAAGAAAUGAAAGCUAUCCGCAUGACUGCAGAGUUACCUGCUUUGUUGUACAUGAAGAAAUUUCAUCACGCUUAUCAAGUCUUGAAGCUGCAGUUUCCUGGAAUCAUUUCAACAUGAAACAAUUGUGUAAUAGCGCACAUAUAAAUUACAAGAUAUGGAGUGGCGUUGGUGGAACAAAAAGCCAACACUAUUACCAUGACGCUGGAAGCUAGCUUCACACCUUUAGUAGCUAUCAUGCAAAAAUACAAUGAAAAAGUUGUGGCGUCUAUGUGCUGCAAUUUCCACAAAAUCAAAGUCAACAUGCAUGGAGAGACCCAACACUUUUCACUAAACUUAGAAAGAUAGCCAACGAUUUUGUGCUAAAUAUUCAACAUCCCUAUAACGUUGAUUUUAGGACGGUCAUAAAAAGGAUUGUAUACAGGAUGCUUUGGAAACAAUUUUUAGUGAUUAUCAUCUAACUUUGGGCACUUUUGCUGCUGGUGCAGUGCUGCUAAUAGGUCUUCGUGCAACUAGUUUACCAAAUUUAUUAGAAAGAGGGCUUACAAAAAUGCUGCUAUGACAAUCGCACAUUGCCUUGUCAUACUCAUUGAUUUUCUCUAUGUCUUCUCGAAAUGGCAUAUCCUUUGAAAACAAAUAGAUGCGAAACAAGCAUUAGAAAAAUAAAUUCUAGAGAAGGAUAAGUCAUUCAUUUCUUCACCAUCAUCAAUGGAAAGAAGGUGCAUGUUUUUUGUUAAUCAAAUAAUCAUAAAGAAAGAUUCAAUCAUAAAUAGAGUAAGAAUGACGUUAUCCAACUUUGUUUACCAAACAAUCGUGAACAGAGAAAUGUUCAACUACAAAAUAGGAGAAACACUCACCUUUUCCACCUUUUUCAACUCAGAGUAGUUCUCCGGAUAUAUGGCACGGAACAUCUUGACCUGUUCCUCAAGCUAAAUUGAAGCAACGUCAACAAACAAAAAGUCAUAUAAAAUAAGAUGGACUUGGGAAAAUAAGUAAGACAAUAACUCUCUUCGCCCCCAAGGAACAUCACUUACAAAGAAAUAAAAACUAUAUUAAUUACUCUAUGUGAUGAGUUGGCAUAUCAUUUACUCUAUGACACCAUAUUCAUUAUUUUCAGGGUAUGAAGAUAAGUUAGGACAACAUAUUUAAUAGAUUAAAUGGUAGAAGGAAAAAAAGUAGUUUUGAGUGCCGUUGCCCUUUGGAACAAAAAUAAGAGUUCAGUAAUUCAGUCCAUCUCACUUCAAAUUGAGAUCGGGCUGUUAGUUAUAUUUCUUUUUAUUGUGCCAAUGUCUUGCAUAAAAUAUGGAGUAUGGAGAGGUUACUUUCUUUAAAGAAUUGAAGGACUCAAACAUAAGUGCCCCUUACUUCUAAAGUUUUUUUAAUCCUAAUAUGUCCAAAAAAAAGGCAGAAAGCGCACGUUAUAGCUGUAUUAUUGUGUGGUUAACUCUUGAAGCAUGCAUCUAGCUGUCUAUCAUGGAAUCCUGGUAGUCGUUGUUCAGCACUAUCAAGCAGCAGAGAUCGGAUCAUGCAAUGGCAAAACUAUCAUGGAAAAAACACGUACGUACACCACGCAAUGGAGAGUGAUAGUUAGCGCAUAACACGGGCAGUUACGUUGGAGGCACAUUCGUGUACGUUACCACGUGAUUGCCGUCGUCUGGUUCUACGCCGAAGGGCCAAUCGGCGGCGCCUUUGCGAGCACCGGUUGCGUGACGGUCGCGCAGGCGGGGAGCCGCCCUGCCCGCCAACCUGUUGCCGACGAGCGAGGUGCUUCUUCCCCCUUGCCUGCCGAGCACCGGGACAAAGCGAAGAGAAGACGACGGCGGGCUGCUGAUGCACGGCCGCCGCGCGCCAACGCCGACAUGGACAGAUGGACACGGCCGGAGCGUGGCCAUGGCGAACACCCAAGCAAGUUUGUUCUUCGUGGGGAUCGAUCGAUCGAUCGCUGUGGGUUUUUUUUUUAUAUUUACAUGAGUGUCGGUUUGCCCGUUUGUACUACGACAUGAACACGGCUUUGUUUUUAGUUGGACUCUUUGACUUGAUGGUUGGCAACAAAGCAAAGGCCUGUUACCAGACUAAACUGGAAAGAACAACUAAACUGGAACAAUUUAACAUCUAGACUAGAUGAUGCCAGCUGGGCUGGGUUGCGUGAAGUUCUUCUGAGUCGUUUUGGAUUGGACUGGUUCGACCCUCAACGCAAAAUUGGGCCACCUGCACCUUCGAUCGCGACUGACAGAAACGGCCCAAAUCAAAUUGAGAGCCCGACGACGACGGCUCGACCCAGCAACGAGUCGGUUUUCCCAGCCCAACUGCGUACGGCAGGCACAAAAAUUUCCCCAAUCCACCACCAUCUCGUCGCCGAUCCGACUCGCCUCCCCAUCAAUACAGCGAGCGCCGUGUCCCCGAUCCAGCCACACCACGAGUCGGCACAGCCCCGCGAUCCCCUCCCCCUCUUCCUACCUCAGAUUCGCGGCGAUCUAGCCGGCGGGCGCGAUGGCGGGGCAGAACCAGCGGCUCAACGUCGUGCCAACGGUGACGAUGCUCGGCGUCAUGAAGGCCCGGCUCGUCGGCGCCACCCGCGGCCACGCGCUGCUCAAGAAGAAGUCCGACGCGCUCACGGUCCAGUUCCGCGCCAUCCUCAAGAAGAUCGUCGCCGCCAAGGAGUCCAUGGGCGAGACGAUGCGCGCAUCCUCCUUCUCCCUCGCCGAGGCCAAGUACGUCGCCGGCGACGGCGUCCGCCACGUCGUCCUCCAGUCCGUCCGCGCCGCCUCCGUCCGCGUCAAAUCCCACCAGGAGAACGUCGCCGGGGUCAAGCUCCCCAAGUUCACCCACUUCGUCGACCCCGCCGCGGCCUCCGGGGGCCCCUCCAACGCGUCCCCGAGCCUCACGGGCCUCGCCCGCGGCGGGCAGCAGGUCGCCGCCUGCCGCGCCGCGCACGUCAAGGCCAUCGAGGUGCUCGUCGAGCUCGCAUCGCUCCAGACCUCCUUCCUCACGCUCGACGAGGCCAUCAAGACCACCAACCGCCGUGUCAACGCGCUCGAGAACGUCGUCAAGCCCAGGAUCGAGAACACCAUCAGCUACAUCAAGGGGGAGCUCGACGAGCUCGAGCGAGAGGACUUCUUCAGGCUCAAGAAGAUCCAGGGAUAUAAGAAGAGGGAGAUCGAGCGCCAGAGGGCCAACGCCAGGCUGUUCGCGGAGGAGCAGCUCGCCGAGGAUCUCGCGCUCAAGAGGGGCAUCUCCGUGGGGGCUGCAGCAAAUCUGCUCGUUGCUGGAGGGGAGAAGGACGACGACAUCAUCUUUUGAUCGCCUCUUCCAUGGUCAUCCAAUUAUUCAAUCGGUGCGUAGAAUCAUCAAUGCCUUGUCCUCUUAUUCUGGAUCUGGACUGCUGCUGUAGCUCCUUGGAUUGUACUAGUAUCAAUCGUGUACUGCAGUUAAUUCUUAGAUGGAUCCAAGUUACCUUCCCAAAGAUGUGUACGUGAUGUCCAAAAGUAUUCCUGCCUGUGAUGAUUCAUCAGAAUUAUAAGCUGCUGUUCAUUAAUGUGCACAAUACACUUGCAGAUUGGUCACAUUGGUUGUAUUCCUGCAUGUUCAUCUGAAUUAUAAAGUAGCUGUUCAUUUAUUUGAACUCUAAUAAUGUGAUGUCCGUUCACGGAAAUAAGAUUUCGUAAUCACAAACACAUGAUUGAUUUACUCAUGGCUAUAUGAUAUUAACUUUGCACUUCAUCCGGAAACUAUGCUUACACUGUAGAAUUUUAGAAACCAGGUCUUCACUCCAUAGUGUUUCAAUGUGAAUGGCCAUUGGUAAUUG
rnacentral:lncRNA from 1 species